CUGAAUAACUCAGUUGAUCGCAUGGUCUAGCACCGGCGACGUAUCUUUCAAGUGUCUGCCUUAUCAACUGUCGAUGGUAGUUUACAUGACUACCAUGGUUGUAACGGGUAACGGAGAAUCAGGGUUCGACUCCGGAGAGGGAGCCUGAGAAACGGCUACCACAUCCAAGGAAGGCAGCAGGCGCGCAAAUUACCCACUCUCAGUACGAGGAGGUAGUGACGAAAAAUAACGAGACGGUUCUCUUUGAGGUCCGUCAUCGGAAUGGGUACAAUUUAAACCCUUUAACGAGGAUCUAUUGGAGGGCAAGUCUGGUGCCAGCAGCCGCGGUAAUUCCAGCUCCAAUAGCGUAUAUUAAAGUUGUUGCGGUUAAAAAG
rnacentral:rRNA from 1 species